GAGUCGUCCCCAUACCCUGUCUGGUAUGAGUGCCAAAAAUAUCAUCCCUCAAUAACUCAUCCGGUAUGAGGGUAAAACGGGCCGUCACCAUACUCCGUCAAGUAUGAGUGCCAAAAUACCAAUUCUCGAUACCCCAUCCGGUAUGAGGCAACGUUUACGGUAGGGUUCCCUGUGUACCCGGUUCGUCCACUAUCUUCCAGGAUAUCCAGU
rnacentral:lncRNA from 1 species